CAGCCACAUUUUUGCUGAAUACAUUCAAUUAAUAUUGCUGGAAUCCUACCUUUUGUUUACGCCUUCUAAAGCAUCGUCUUUGUGUGAAGGAAAGCUUCAACUUUUCACAGUUUCCUGUUGGCCAUCCUAAACACACAGACAGGUGGGAAAGACGUUUGACAUCCAGCUGGUCAGUGGAUCCACCAAUGAUCUCUCAUGUGUGACAAUAUAACUUCUCUGUGCAACAACACCUGCUAUAGCCUUCAUUACAGCGAGCCGGGGACCACUCUUUGCCGGCCCAGUAACGACCGG